CCCCCAACCAGUGAUCGAACCUGUGCCCCCCUGCAGUGGAAGAGCAGAGUCCUAACCACUGGACCACCAGGGAAUUCCCAUUUUUGGUAUUUUUUUAAAGACGUCACAGUGUCGAUCUUUGUGGUGAAGAGCUUCAGAGGACUCCUGAGCCUGCCCUUGACCAGGGCAGGGCCAAGCUUGACCAAUGGAGCCUCUGAUCUCAGGAGCAGCUUCUCAAAGGCAAGAAAACAAGUUUGCAGAGAAUAUAUUGCUUUGAGCAAGACACUAAGAGGGAGUAAGAUGAAACCCAUCAUUCGGUGGAGUGAGUCGAAGAGCCCAGCCCAGAAGCUGCUCUAUCUCUGAAAGGUCCCUAUUAACCCAAUGGCUCUAAAACUAAAGUGAAUUUAUCAGUAUCCCCGCCAAAUGUGAAAGUCCCCCAAAUAAGGCUUCCUGAUUCCAUUUGACCAUUUCUGUUGAGAAAUAGGUUCAUUUUAAAUCCGGAGCUCUUGGUAUCUGAGAUCACAGGUCCAGACCCCUCAAGAGGGCAAUAAUAUCAGCAGUUUCCUUGCUGCCAAGAAAUAAAAGCUUAAAACUCAUUUCAAGUCAUCUCCAUGUAACCCUGUUAUAAUUUUUCCCCAUAGAAGCAGUCAGUGGGGUGCAAGAACAGCCAGCAGCAGAAAGGAUGGAAAGAUUGUACAGAAAGGAUGGAAAGAUUGUAUCUCCUUCACUGCUAUCAUUCCCAUGGGAUUCUUUGCUUGCUCCCUCUGGCAGCUGGCCCCCUGAGGAAGCACCAACCUCCCCCAAACAAGUGUGAUUCAAUGAGAGUGUGGAACUUGGAGACAGAUGCCCCCUCAUAGUCCCAGAUCUGCUGCUACCUGUUAUUGUUGUAACUUGGGCAAGUAACCUAACCUUUGUGUCCCAGUUUACUCAUCUGUAAAAUGGGAUGAUAGCACCUACAUUACCCUUGCUUAGAUCAAAUAGGAGAAGAGAUGUUGCAAUUUCUAAAGAUCUAGUCAUGGAUAAGAUAUUAUCAUGUCCCCCUUACACAGGUGCCCGCACACACACACACACACACACACACACACACACACACACAUACUCUAAUGCCAAGGCUCAAGGAGAGAGCAAGGCUGGGGAAAUUUUUCACACCUACAUUAUUCUUCGGGGCCAGCACCCCUGUUUGGAACCCUUGUUUUGCCAGUCGUGGCUUCCUGCUUCCUCAUUUCCGUGAUCUGGAAAUGCUAGAGGCUCCAGGCUUGGUCUCCAGGCCUCUGUUCUUCUUUAUCUACAUUUAAUUCCUAAGUGAUCUCAUCCAGUCUCAGAGCUUUAACUGCCCUCUAUGCUCUGACUCCCUAAUAUACAUUGCUGACUGGGGCCUUGCUCCUGAACUCCAGACAUGUAUAUACAGCUGACUAUUCAACAUCUUCUCAUGACCAAAAAUAAACUUCUGAUAAUCUCCCCACCUCUUCCUCGCAUAGUUUUCCCCUUCUCAGUAAAUGGCCACUAUUAAGUUAGAAUAUAUGAAAUAACCUUUUUUUUUUUUUUAAGGUCAAGAACAGUCAAGUAUCAGCAACAUCAUUUGGUUCAACCAAAUACCUCCUUCCAGCUGCUCAGGCCAAAGGCCUUAGACUUUACAAUCCUUGACCCCUCUCUCUAAUUCUGUACCUUGAAUCUAUCAGGAAAUCCUGUUGGCUCUGCUAUCAAAUAUAUCCACAAUCUUUUCCCCACCACCUCUACUAAGCCAUUAUCAUUACUAUAUACACUCACUUUCCAACAGGCCUCCUCUCUUUAAUCCCUGAAUUCACUCAGAUAGAAACCAGUGAUCCUUUUAAACCAUAAAUCAGAUCCCCACUAUUCAAAACUCUCCAAGGACUUCCCAUUUCACUCUAUGUUAAAGCCAAAGCCAUUGCGGGCUUCCCAGGUCCUAUAGGAGCUGCCCCUACCCUCUUCCCUGACUCACAGCUUUCUAGCCACACUGGCCUUCUAGCUGUUCCUCAGAUAUACCAAGUAUGCUCCUGCCCCAGGGCCUUUGUACUUGCCACUCAGUCUGAAACAUUCUUCACUUAGAUUAAAAACAUGGCUUCCUCCCUUCUCUCCUUUAGGUCUUUGCAGAGAUGUCACCUUCUCUGUAGAGCCUUCUCUGGGCACCCGAUUUAAAAUUGAAAUCCCAGGGACUUCCCUGGUGGUCCAGUGGGUAAGACUCCGCACUCCCAA